UUCCGUAGGUGAACCUGCGGAAGGAUCAUUACCUGGCCUGGGGCCGCCCCCGCACAGCAGGGGGCGCUUAGCCCUUGACUAUCACCUUGACUAUGCGCACCUUUGUUGCUUCCUCGGCGGGUCUCCCGCCGCAAGGAAUCCCUUAACCUCUUUGCAAUGGCAUCAAACUGAAACAAACCACAAUUAUUUACAACUUUCAACAAUGGAUCUCUUGGUUCUGGCAUCGAUGAAGAACGCAGCGAAAUGCGAUAAGUAGUGUGAAUUGCAGAAUUCAGUGAAUCAUCGAAUCUUUGAACGCACAUUGCGCCCCUCGGUAUUCCGUGGGGCAUGCCUGUUCGAGCGUCAUUGACCCCCUCAAGCUCUGCUUGGUGUUGGGCGCCUGUCCCGCCCCGCGCGCGGACUCGCCUCGAAGACAUUGGCGGCGGUCGUGCCAGCUUCCCGCGCAGCACAUUGCGCUUCUCGAGGCUCCGGCGGACCCGCGUCCAGCAAGUCCACCCUCAGUUUGACCUCGGAUCAGGUAGGGAUACCCGCUGAACUUAAGCAUAUCAAUAAGCGGAGGAAAAGAA
rnacentral:rRNA from 1 species